rnacentral:sRNA from 1 species
GUCAGUAAUGCGGCCUCCGCCAACAGCGCCACCUACCUCUGCAGCAACACCCAAUCGGAUUCUGCCAUCCAGCAAUGCGGCGUCACCAUACGGAUCUCCACUCGGUUCAUCAAUUCUGUCCAAUCAGCCACUCGUCUUGCCAUUCGCGCCGAUCAACGGGGAUUUUGAUUUUAGCGCGGCGAUCGCUGCCGCUUCACAGCCCAAAG